GCUACGCCAGCAAGCCAGGACAGAGCUUUCUGGAUGGGGUCGCUGGGUCCGUGCAGAUCACACUCUGCUGGAAGUGACUCAUCGUUUGCUUGGUGCAGUGAAAGCUGGACUCCAUGGUCCACAAUAAGCCAGAGACACUGGAACCACAAAGGGCUAGACACCUGCCCCUGGGGCACAGGACUUGGGUUCUUUCCUUCCAGCCAAGCAUGGAGAAAGGAGCUGGGAGAUUGUGGGCUUCCUGCUCUUCCUGGUCCUCUGUGGAUGCACUGACCCUUUGAGGCAGAGCUUGGCAGGUCUCAGGUACUAUAGCAGCCAGGAGGAGGGCUCUCACACCACAGAGGGAUGACAAGCGCAGAGCCGGCUCUCACCCUUCCUGCGCUUGUGAGACUGGGCCGGCCCCCUGCGCAGCUUUCCUCACGUAGCCCGGCGAGCGCAGCAGCAUCCUGCGACCCUCCUCCCGCAGCACUGUCAGCAGCAGCCCUCGCUGGUUCCAGGGCACGUAGGCUUUGGCGACUAACAGCACCUCCUCUGGCCAAAGCCGGCAGGCAGUGACAUAGUCCAGCGCGCCCAGGAAGGCUCUGCCCUCGAGCACCCGCAGCAGCCCUCGGCCGCACAGCGCGCGCACGCAGCCUCCCGCAUUCGGCGCCCCGCGCUCUACCACCGCCUGGAAGUCUUCGCGCGCCCGCCGCGCAUCGCCUGCGUGCAGCGCGCAGAAGCCGCGCAGCGCCACCAGCGGCGCGAGGUCUCCUACGCGCUCCCCGGGACGCCUGGGCCUCAGGAGGCGCUCACACUGCGUCCGAGCCCCAGCUACGUCCCCGGACAGCAGCAGGCACUCGGCCAGGCGGAUCCCUAGCGCGGAUCGCCUUCGGGCGGGCGCCACGCGGAACAGGACGUGGAGCGCUCGAGUCACGGGAACCAAGAGCUCACGGUCCGCGUCCUCUCGCAGCUCUGGGCGGCUUCGCACAGCCUCCAGGAAGCGGGCGAAGCCCACGUCCGCAGCCUCCUGCGCCCGAGCUUGCAAGCGUUCGCGGUCCUCGGCGGACAGCAGAGCCUGGAAGUGCCUCCGUGCCCCGGCGGGACUCUCACGGAAGGCAUCCUGUAGGUCCAGCAGUGCGUCCCCUGCUUGGCCAUCCAGGAAGAAGGCCGCGGCUGCGCGGGUGACCAGCAGGGCCGCCAGAUGCUCACCUGGGGAGAGAAAUGGGGUGUUGCUCUGCCUUCCUGUCAGUUCGGGGCGUCUACCCCAAGUGCGUGGGUAACAAAGGGCUCUGAAACCACAAGGACAACCCCAAGCUCAUGGCGCCCGUGAGUGAUGCCGCAGAUAGGUGCCAGCACCACAGCUCCUGGUGCCACCCAGCACUGUUCCCCGAGAGUGGCUCUGGGUAGGCAUCACCUCUCAGUCUCAAAAUUUAUUUACAUUUCUUUCCGUGCAGACUUUCAGUGAUGGGUUUUAGUUUUCUUUCAGGGAUGUAGCCCCAUCCAGCCCACUCUGUGAAACUGAGGUUCUGACUCUGACCGGUCCUGGAAUCUUUGCAUCCUGUCUUUGUAGGACCCAACACUUCCCUGUAGGAAACCGAAACAGCAGAAGGCCCAGGAAGGAGGGACUCAGUAAUCUGAAGUAAUCUGAGUUGGUGGACCUCAGCCAUUGGCGGAAGUCAUGGUUUCUGUCCCCUUCCCAUUGUUAGGAUGGGAGCCCCAGGGUGUGAGGAGGGAUGUGGCAAGCACACUACCUCAGCCCUGAACCCAGCAACUUAACAAACUACCAGUUUGCACAGACUGACCAAGAAAAACCCCAUACCAGGGUCCCCUGUCCUGGUGGCAGAAGCCAAAGGUGCAAAUGGUUGUGAACAGAAGAGAGGUCACCUUGGGAGGCCCUGCAGCUGCUGACAUCACACCCACAUUUCCUUCCAAGAAAACAACCACACACACAAUUAAGAAACAACCACACAUAGUCCACUAAGGCUCUAUUCAUUUUUUCAUAUCAGAUCAUCUCCAUUUUAUUUUAAAUUUGGCUGACUCUUCUCCCAUCUCUAUGAUGCUGAUUUUUUCAUUAUUAUUUCACUUUUCAAUUAAUUUCCUUUUUUGGGGGGCGAUGUUGGGUAUCAAACCCAGGUUUGUGUACAUGUUAGGCAAGCACUUCACCACUGAAUUAUAGACCCCAGAUAGUAUUUAUUAAAUUGUACACCAGACAUUUGAGCAAUACUUUGUAAAAACUCUCAAUUUAUGUUCCUCAGAUGAGGGCUGAAUUUUGUUUUAGUAAUCAGUUAAGUUGCCUGAACUCAAUUUCCAAAUUCUAUAUGUAGCCCUGGCUGUCCUGGAAAUCAAUCUGUAGGGCAUGCUA